rnacentral:lncRNA from 1 species
UGAGGGGGUUAACCCCCAUGACUCUAAGGUCAGGGGUUCAACCCCCAACACUUUCACUUGUCCCAUUUUAUUUCUUGUUUAUUUUGUUUUUUUUAUAUUUACCCCAUUUAUUUUCUAUUUCUCUUGAUUUUUUUACCACUCGUUUUUAUUUUAUUAAAAAUAUUCCCAACACAAACUCAUAUUAUUUUUUCCUAUACUAUAUUAUUA